GGGGCCGUAGUUCAACAGGAGAAUGCUGGCUCGGCAGACCAGCGACGAGGGUGCGACUCCCUCCGGUUCCA
rnacentral:tRNA from 1 species